GAGCAGAACAGGCAAACGGCCAGUGCUCACCCUGCUCCCUGCCAGGCAGCACUGUGGAUGGGCUUGUGGCCCACGUGAGACUGAGCAGGGAUUUCUGUCACUUGCGGCAGAAAACCUCCCACUGGCUAGCAAGCACCUGGUCCAUCCCAAGGGACAGACUGACAGGCUAUGGCUUGUCCCCAUCAUGGAACACAGCAGAGCGCCGAAAAGAAAGAGGGGGUAUCCUCCCGUCCUGAAAAGGAACCAGCGACGAGAGAUGUCAUCUGUUCUCAACCAGGGGUAAUUUUGCUCCCUAGGUAGGUUGCCAGGUUAAGGAAAUAAAAAUGCAGGGCAGCCAGUUCAAGCUGAAUUUCAGACCGUGCAUGUUAACUAGAUGUCCUGUAUUUACUGUGGCAACCUUACCCCCAGGGGACAUUUGGCAAUGUCUGGAGGCAGUUUUGGUUGUCACUGGGGAUGGUUAGGUGCUACCAGCAUCUGGUGGGAAGGCACCGGGGGUGCUUUUAAACAUUUCACAAUGCAUAGGACAGCUGAGGCCAAAAAAAAAAAAAAAAAUUAUCCAGCCUAAAAUGUCAGUUGUAACAAGGGUGAGAACCCCUGUAUUAAAUGAAAGAUAGCAAAAACCCCAUAAGAACCCCAUAAGAUAUGGUAGGAUCUCAUUUGUACGUCCUGUAUUUACUCUGGCAACCCUACCCCCAGGGGACAUUUGGCAAUGUCUGGGGUUGUUACUGCGGAUGGGGUUGUGUGUGUGUGUGUUUCUUUUUUUCUUUUUACACACCCAACUAAGCCAUAGAAUCGCAUAGAAAAAGGUAUGGAAGGUCACAUACCUAAGUCAUGUGGGGUAGGGAGUGGUCAUUCCUUUUACUCUAAAUACCUUCUGCAGUGUUUUAUUAUUUGUGAAGUUAAUUAUAACUGAAGUGAAUAUAUACGUGUAUACACACACACACAGAAAGCAUGCCUAUCAAAACAAUAGAUAUUUCACAAAGUGAACACACCCAUGGCAUGGCCUCCUGAUGAAGAUGAAGAACAUGGCCACUGCUCCAUGAGGCCCUUUGCAGUCCUGCCAGCCUCUCCCUCGAGGGCUGCGAGGGGAACUGCUGUCCUGACUUCCAACCUGCUUUGGGCUCCACAUGAACCGAAUUCUGCCCGACGUCCUCGCUUGAGACUGGCGUCUUUCCCUCAGCAACGUGUCAUGAUUCAUUCAUGUGGAUCGGAGCAGCGGUUGGAUCAUUUUCAUUGCUGUGAAAUACACCACAAUGGAUUUAUGCAUUCAACCGUUGAUGGACAUUUGGGUCGUUUCCCGUUUGGCAAGAUGAUGAAGAAAGCUGGUAUGAGCAUUCUUUCACACGUCUUUUCUUGGGCAUAUGUACUCACUCCUGUUGAGUGUAAACCUAGGAAUGAAUCGCUCAGUCAUAGGGCAAAUGUGUGUUCCUCUUUCCUAGAUACCAUUCGAGUUCCCAAAGUGCUUGCACGGGUUUACGCUGCCAUCCACCAGAGAUGAAAGUUCCGCCUGGGCUGCUGCCUCCUGGCCAAGCCUGGCUGGGUUGUAGCUUUUGCGCUUUAGUCCCUCUGGUGGGUGUGUAAAUUGCUAAUCACUGUGAUUUUAAUUCGCAUUUCCCUGAUGAUGAAGCUGAGCACUUUUUCAUAACUUUAUGGGCCAUUUGAUUGUCCUCUUUUGUGAAAUGCCUAUUCGGGCCAUUGGUCCAUUUUUCCAUGAGGUUAUCUCCGUUUCUCUCAUUGAUUUGUAAUUAAGAGUCCUGUUGCAAAUCUCUUUUCCCGCUGUGCGGCUUCUUGCCUUUUCCUUCGCUUACAACGCUCCAUGCUGUCCUGGACCCUAGCAUCACCCAGGCCUAGGUAAUAGAAGGGUGGCUUUUGUAAAGCGACUCAAGGCUGAGAAGGGAACAGACACUCUUAGCACAAUAAGCUACAGGCUGAAAAACAGCCGGAGGUGAAUCUUUGCAGCGUGAAUGGUCUGGCUGUCUUUUAUAAAAGUAACUCGAUUGGACUAGACCCCAUGAGGGACUCUGCUCCUCCGCUCCCCUUUCCCUGAGGACCUAAUUCCCCACUGGGUCAGCCGCAGAACCAGAUAGAGCUGGGGACUCACGACCCGUGCUGACGACUGGAUGCAAGAGGAGGAAGGACUUUGGUGGAGAGAAGGAAUCAAAAGGAACCAAGAAUGUGAGACAAGAGGACUUGCUGGUGGGGUCCCCUGCUGUGUCCCCAGAGUCCCAGCAUGUGCCUGACACACAGCAGGUGCCUGAUUGAUAGUGACGGUUCCCCAAAGGCUGCUGGAGUCACCUCUGGGAUUCUGCACAGGCUCCACCCUCUGGGGAGGUGUGCUUGGUAGAGGACACGAAGGCUGCUUGUUGGGGUUACCUUAGUACCUGGGUGAAGAGUAAAAAGUAAUUAAUAAUAACGAAAGAAAA
ensembl:lncRNA novel transcript